GACUCCUCCAGCCUUGAAUUCUCACUCCCCUCCAUAUCUGCACACGGGUCACUUCCACAGAUCCCGAGGGCAUCGCUCUCUUUUCUUUUAUUCAUCUCCACAUCCUUCAACUCUAAUAUAUUUUGAGUCUCUCUGCUGUACUGUUCAUAGUGCGCUGAUCACUGCUCUAUCGUCUUCUCUGUUUUCCCUCAAGAGUGACGUGUCACUGAAGGAAUACUUGUAUUACUGAACUUUCACACUCGAAGAGUGGACCAGAGAGGAAGAGCCCUCCGAUAAUGUACCUGACAGACUCAAGAAGACAAAUAGAAACAAUUUUCUCUUCCUGCAUUAGACUCAAUCUGUCGGGUUCGGCAGGAUACACAGGCAUCACUGUGGCAUGGGAUGAGAAAACAUACGGAGCAUUUUAGGCAAGUUCUUAGGAGAAGACUUGAAAAAUGGGCAGUUGUUAGCUCCUGGAAGAAAAGGGAGGAGAGAGCAGUAUGACUCACAGCAGCUCGAAUACUGUGCGUUUUGUAUGCAGGAGGGGGGCUAGAGAGAGAUAGAGGGGAAAUGAGAGAGACACAGGGAAAGAAAAAGAGCAGACCUUAACAGACGCGAACAGUCGUCAGACAGGGAUGAGGAAGGACGACGCAAGCCAGAGCCAGUGACUUCGAGACAGUGGGCCAAGUGAAUCAGCUUGCUGGAGGGUGAGGAAGGUGAGAAGUGGACGAGAGUUGAGGAUCUGACGGGUUUAGCAUGAGGGAAGGGUCACUGAAGAUUUGCUGCCUGAUGGACAUUGGAAUCAGGACUGCAAAGGACAGAAGAACCGGCUGAAAGGUACUUAAAACCGACUGUUUUGCUGUAGGGGGAGACUGGAUAACUGUAUAUUGAAAGGGUCGCAUAUACUGUCGAAAAUGACCACAAAUGUGACAUAAGGGGAACAAAUCAGGCCACAGAGCAAAAAUCCAAGCAGGAAGAUGAAUUCAAGAAUAAAAAAGAAUGCAGAAUACAAUUGCUGCAGAUGAGAAAACAUCAGUCUUUGCACCACACCGGGGACAGCAUGGAAACUUUAACUGUGACAACGACACAGCAAGAGAUUUCUGUUAAAUAUUCAUGCUGACAGGCCACUCUGGAAACAACUUGCUUCCUCCUCCACAGAAGGAAAACAGAAAAGAAAACUGCUUUCAUUAUGUGGGAUUUUUACGCUAGACAAGUUGGCAAGUGCACCAGGUUAUGUUGACGUCUUGCAGCGAAUUGAAACAGGACCAUGUCGUACGAGCCGCAACGUGGCCUGCUGGGAGUGCUCGGUCAGUCAUGAAGAGAGAGGAUUGACAACUGACAGAAGGACUGUAGCUGUGACUGUCAAGAGGAGGAAAUAAACAUUUGAGCGACCAUUAGAAUGACAUGGGGACUGCAGCCAUAUCUAUUCUAUGUGAGAUAAAUCUAUUCUUGGCUUAUACAGACAAUUGCAUUUUGUAUAGACUCUUGACCUGCUUUGAAAUCCACUAAGAGUUACUAAUUACUGCCAAAUAUAGAAUUUUUAAUUUCCUCUUGGACUGAAUAUAACCUUUCAGAGUUGGCCUUAUUUUCAAAAUUUGCCCAGAGUUGGAAUACUUUUAAAGUUUGAGGAAGGAAACAUUUUUUUUUUCUUCACAUCAACCAAAAUAAAGCAGGACAAUGAACAGCCUCCAAUCCUGAAACCGUAGAAAGACCAGCUUUGUGUUAAUUUAUCCAAGGACUAUCGAGGAGCUCUGCUAAACAUGCUUGAGUGAUGCUGUAGACCUGUGUGUGCCUGCCAAGCUUUGAAGCCAGCUGUUUCUGAACAUUACCCCGCCAAACCCCAUCCAUUAACACCCGGAGCUGCAUGUGUUGCGUGGAUGCUGCCCACCAGCCACAGGGCUGGACCUGAACAGCAGCGGUGAGCGGGGGCACCCGGAGGAGAAGAAUAGAAAGGAGAAAGAAAUCAACAGGCAAAAGGACUGGAAAAAAACUGAUAUCAUGCUCAGAUAAACAGAAGAAAGAAAAUAGUUUCUGGUUGCACCCUUGGGUACAAUGUGUGGCGGCACUGCAUCAAAAACCGACAUCAAUGUGUAAAGGAUAUCACCACAUGGGCUCAGAAACACUUCAGAAAACCAAUGUCAGCGUCGUGCCCUGUGGCGGUGGGGUUCUGUGAUGUUAACCAUGAUACCCGGCAGCCACUAUAUCUGUAGUACUCAUGCAAGAGAGGAUGACUCGACGAACGAUCGAGAGGAGCGGAUUUUAGCCGUGCUGGGCAUCAUCGGAACCAUUCUCAAUCUUUUAGUGGUCAUAUUCGUUUACAUCUACACCUCUGUCACAUAAGACCUUCAGACAGACUUGAACAAGAACUAUUGGUGCCAAACCAACAUCCUUACCGCCAUACAUCUCUUCAAGUAUUUAAUGUGCUUGGAGGGUUAGGUUAUUAUGUGCUUAGAUGGAAGGAUCCUUGGCAGUGUGUACAGCUGGAUUGUCGCCAACUGCAUCAAUUUACUGCUGUAAGAAUACUCCACAUUUACUGACAAUAGCUGCCAAAUGUCACAAUAGAGAGGAGUUCCAUGAGGCAUCUUGUCUCCCUUCCUUCUCAUAUUGAACUUUUCAUUUUAAGACCGCCUCAAGCCAAAUCAUUGCUGAUAGUGACUACUUGCGCUCAUGACUUGGUAUUUCUAUGAAAACGGGACUCCAUCCAAUGGUGGAUUUUACAGUGCUGUUUUUCAUACGAGACUAUAUGACACUGUUCAUAGGGUGGGCUUUGUUUCACUGCCACAUGAAUAUUUACCCAAACGGACCAAACAGAUUUAGCAGAUUGAGUAAAUAGCCACUAAGAACUAUUGACUGAAGGACCUUUGUGCCUCUCCUUUAAAGUUGUAACUUCAUGAGUUCCACCUUUUUUGCAUAAUAUGAGUUGCUAUAGUUAGCAGCCUUUAAAAACCUUUCCAUGGACCUAAUGUGUCCAUACCUGAGCUCGGGGUUAUCGGUAUCAUGCUCAACCUCUUGCUGCUCGCCAUUGUCUACAUAUACACAUCCAUAUGAGAAACUGCUUACUCAAACACACUAUGAGUACCUAUAAUAGUGUGCAUAAGGUAUAUUUCCUGUAAACAUGUAAAUAUCCUUGAGCUAAUACUGGGUUUCAUAUCUAUAUUACAUAUCUCAAAAUGAGAUAUUUAUGUCCUCUCUAUAUAUCUGAUAGUUUGACUGAAGUUUUGCAUCCUUAAAGUUGCAUUGCAUAAAGCCACCAAAGUUGAGAUGAACAUCAUGACGUUUACUUUAGCUUGCUUUGCCGUGACCGUAGCUCAGUUCUAACCAAACUGACCGAUAUAAUUGAAUUAAAGUUAUUUGCUCUUUAUGCUUCUUCAUGUUCAAACUAUAAAACACACCAAAGUGGAACGAGAGGGUGUUGACAAGUCAGUGUGGGCAGCAGCUCAUCAUCAACAGCAAAAGAUCCCUUUGUGGAUGCUCAGUGUCAUAGAAUAAUGGUUUAUAUAUUGUUUCCAUGCCUCUUUGAUUGGAUCGGUCAGGCAGUCACCGAGCACUGUCAGAGGUGGCAAAGUUUGAAACUGAGACAAUGUCACACAAAUCAAGAUAGUGUGAUGCUGCAGUGUAACUUAAAGGCGCAGGAUGUUUGCAAAGGAAAUGAGCAGAACUACAGGGGAUUGUCUCACAUAAGAGGGCUGAAAGCAUCUGUGUAUGGUUUCUCAUCACAACAAGAUAACAAAAACUAUCUGCAAGUAGGUUCCAGCUUUCCCAUUGAUGGUGCAUGUCAGUGUGGAUACGAUUUGUGUGCGUUUAAGGGAAGAGAAAAUGCAAAUUCCAAAAGAGCAGGAAGAACAGGUCUGAAUCUUCAUCUGAUCCUCAUCAUUCUCUUCUCGACCAACAAGCUAAAACCAGAGAAGACAUAAUACAAUCUGGACCCACAUGAAUCUCUGCAGCGAAGCACAUCACUUUUAUAUUGCCAUCAGUGUAUCUAACACCUGAGGACAUCAACCACAGAAAUAACCAGGGCAACCUGCAAAUUGCUUCCCUUAAUGAAAGUUUCCUUUUCUGGCUUGUGAAAAUAAGUUUUUAAAAAAGAGUGUUUUAUCAUCAUUACAAUGAAAGUAGUAACAUUGAGCAGUUUAGCAUAUCUGCGCUAUUGGAUGAUUGUCUUCAGACAUACUGUUAAAAAAAACAACAACAACAACAAAAACACUAUGGCCAUGUCUAGACAAACAAGCAGUCGUGAAUUUUCUGAUUGCAUGACAAGCUUUCAUUCAUAGUUUUUCAUCUCUGUUGAUACCUCAAACAGCAAAACAGAUACGAAUGAAUAUGUUCUAUAUUAUAUAUAAAUAUUUCAUAACCAUCUUGCUAAUAGACCACACUUAGGGGACCCUUGAAAAUCAACAUGUUGCAUCACAUGCCAAAUGUAUAUGUAUAUUUCAACUUCAGUCUUUAUAUCUUGGGACAUCAAAUUUGGUUAGAAUAACGCUUAAGCUUUUGUUUAAGUAAACUAUAAAGUCAUUCCCAAAUACUGUAUAUAGAUUCAGAUGUGCGAUAUGUCAGAUAGGCGUACAUUUCCAUUUCUGUUUGAAGUUAACAAGUUAAUACUUAAAGAAUCCAACUUGAGACAAGGCGACCUAUUAGCAAAACUGCUUCAAAGGGCCCGUAUUUUGGCUCUUUAGACCUCCUUAGAGUGACUCUGAUACAUGGACUUACUAUAAAAGUGUCUGUUUCAAAUUUUUUUUAAACCACCUUGGUUUUGUUAUACGAGUGUCCAGAAAAGGCCCCUCUGACAGCUACUUCUGUUUGACCCAGUUUUGUAUCCACUUUGUCCAUAUUUGGCAAAGACCGCCCCCUUUCCUCUGAUUGAUUGCCUCCGUGUAGAAGACUCACUUUGAGAGAACACGUGUUUGUUAUUUUGACAGCGCUGGCUGGAGACCCAAAAGGGAAUGCGAGGAUCUUCGCUAGUGACGCAGAUAAGCUCAAGAAAUUCGAAUGACCUGAUUUCAGGCCUCUCGGCAGAAAAACAUCAGGAACUCAGGAAUGCGUGGACGAUUUUAAUUCAUAUUUCACAUGUUUACUGAGGCACCAUAGAGACAAUAUUAUAUCCCAAAUACUAGAAAAAGUUGGUUCGGCAAAAUAUUUCCCCUUUAAAUUAUCAUUUAGAUUAUUUCGUUCAACCAACGCUGUCAUUUCAAUGUCUUGGUAUUACCCAAACUGUAUUUUAAUUAUGCGUCACAGUUUACAGAUUCAUAAUUUGUUUCCGAUUAGACACGGCUUGUCAUGGUAGUUAAGCGUACAGCUACAUUAAAUGACAACUGGCUAUACUGUUAAUUACGGCUUCUGUUAUCGAUAUUCAUUAACCUUUGCAUAAAUGUAUUCAUAUAUGAAAAUCAAGAUGUGUUUCAUGUAAACAUCCUCACCCAACUGGUCUCGACAAAGACUGAACGACUGAGUGCAGAGACAAAAUAAUUGCAACACUCAUUAGUUACAGUUUAUUGAUACCAUCAUACAUUUUCAAAGUGUCAAGCAUCGGCAUGCAGACAUCUACUGUACACUAACAAAUAAAAACUAUAACAGUAAAGCCACUACAAUGUAUCAUACCACACAAUUGAAAAUGUCCUGUUGAAUUCUGAACAAGCAAAUACAUAGAAAGCAUUUAACUAGCUCAGGCGGAGUUCUUACUUACCAAUGUGGCUUUCAAAGGUCAACCAAAAAUAUAUCUAUAUAUGUAUAUUUUUAGAAAGAAAUUUUUUUUCUGGCAAGACUUUGAACCUGAAAAUUUUCACAUUCAAACGUUUCUAUAUUUAUCCACACUACUUUUACUGUUGGAUGAUUUAGCCCUGGUUGUGAAGACCUCUAACAAGCCUAAUAUAAGAACAAUAAAACAACAGUAAUUGCUAUGAUGCUCCCUGUUACCAAUGGUACGUAACCAAAGUUUUCAUUGUUAAUUAUUAACAUUUAUUAUAUUGAAUGAUUUUUAUUAUUUUUUCAUGACUCUUACUACAUGGUUUUAGGGGUCUGAGGUUUAAGUAUAUUGUAAAUAUAUUACUCUUAUUUUCUGCAUGAAUUUGAGGUUAAAAUUUGGUUCGGUUAAAUUUGGUGUAGAAAUAUUUAACAUUACAGACUCAAAGUUAAUAAAAGCAGAAAGCCCAGAGGACAGGUCGAGGCCAUCUGUUGUGCCCACAGAUACUCAGCCACCCACUCAAUGUACACGUGCACACGCACACACACGCACACGCACACACACGCACACACGGACUUUCCAUGUAAUAAUGUUUUUUUUUGUGCGUUCAUUUCGGUGCCUAUUUUUAUUUAUUUUUUACUCUACAAAUGAAUUUGCGUUCACAACACUAAUGGAAAGCGCCUUUGUUGCCACAGGAAAGACAACUGCGCACACCUUGGACUGCACGCGCAAGAAUGAAAUAUUAACAUGUUUCUACAUUCUGCAUCUGUAUUCAGAAAUGCUCAUUCUGAGUCUGUCAGCAACUAUAUAAUGAAAUUUUCACGUUUUUUAUGAUGCAUUAGAUGAAUUGAUUUUCAGCCUGAGAGGGCAUCUUGGAAUAAGCCUGCCUGAGACUGGAAAAAAAAAUUCUGCAUAAGAAAGCGCUGGAAAUAUUGUAAUUGCUGAUGAAUAUUUAAGAGAAAAGGGUCAUUGGGGAAUUAAAUAAAAUAAAUACCAAUAUGCAUUGGAUUUAUAGGAACAUUUACUUUUAAUGAGGUCAAACAAAGGGAAGGUAGGAAAGCUGUUGAUUUUUUUUUAAAAGAAAAUGACUAUUCACAAACCUAAUUAAAAAAAAACUCUUCAGACAGGAUUGAGCCAGAGAUUCAGCAUGAGUGUGAUGAUUCCGUUUCUUAACUUUUGAGCUGAGUACAUUAAAAGUUAUACAGUAUUGUGUAAGAAAGCAAACUGUGUCAUCUAUAUUUUGUUCAAAACAUUAUGCCUAUUAUUGCAGAUGGAACAGCAAUUAGAAAUAUUUGAUGUCACCAGCUAAAAGCGCUGAUGUUUUGUUAUCGUUCCUGUAAUUAAUAUAAUAGAUAUGUAACACUAAUAAACCUGGAGACACUUUACUUUCA